rnacentral:rRNA from 1 species
CCUACGGGAGGCAGCAGUGAGGAAUAUUGGUCAAUGGGCGCGAGCCUGAACCAGCCAAGUAGCGUGAAGGAUGACUGCCCUACGGGUUGUAAACUUCUUUUAUGAAGGAAUAAAGUGAGGCACGUGUGCCUUUUUGUAUGUACUUUAUGAAUAAGGAUCGGCUAACUCCGUGCCAGCAGCCGCGGUAAUACGGAGGAUCCGAGCGUUAUCCGGAUUUAUUGGGUUUAAAGGGAGCGUAGAUGGGUUGUUAAGUCAGUUGUGAAAGUUUGCGGCUCAACCGUAAAAUUGCAAUUGAUACUGGCAGUCUAGAGUACAGUUGAGGGAGGCGGAAUGCGUGGUGUAGCGGUGAAAUGCGUAGAGAUCACGAAGAACACCGAUUGCGAAGGCAGCUUACUAAACUGCCACUGACAUUGAUGCGCGAAAGUGUGGGUAUCAAACAGGAUUAGAUACCCGAGUAGUC